CCUACGAGAGGCAGCAGUGAGGAAUCUUGGUCAAUGGGCGCGAGCCUGAACCAGCCAAGUAGCGUGAAGGAUGACUGCCCUACGGGUUGUAAACUUCUUUUAUAAAGGAAUAAAGUGAGGCACGUGUUCCUUUUUAUAUGUACUUUAUGAAUAAGGAUCGGCUAACUCCGGGCCAGCAGCCUCGGUAAUACGGAGGAUCCGAGCGUUAUCCGGAUUUAUUGGGUUUAAAGGGAGCGUAGAUGGGUUGUUAAGUCAGUUGUGAAAGUUUGCGGCUCAACCGUAAAAUUGCAAUUGAUACUGGCAGUCUUGAGUACAGUUGAGGUAAGCGGAAUUCGUGGUGUAGCGGUGAAAUGCUUAGAUAUCACGAAGAACCCCGAUUGCGAAGGCAGCUUACUAAACUGUGACUGACAUUGAUGCUCGAAAGUGUGGGUAUCAAACAGGAUUAGAUACCCCAGUAGUC
rnacentral:rRNA from 1 species